AAUCAACGCUGGCGGCGCGCCUAACACAUGCAAGUCGAACGAGAACGGCUUCAGCAAUGGGGCCUAGUAAAGUGGCGUACGGGUGAGUAACACGUGGAUAACCUACCCUCAAGCGGGGGAUAACCUGGGGAAACCCGGGCUAAUACCGCAUAACAUCGCGAUGGCGUAAGUCGUUGUGAUCAAAGGAGCAAUUCGCUAGAGGAGGGGUCCGCGGCCGAUUAGCUUGUUGGCGGGGUAACGGCCCACCAAGGCAAUGAUCGGUAGCCGGUCUGAGAGGACGCACGGCCACACUGGAACUGACACACGGUCCAGACUCCUACGGGAGGCAGCAGUGGGGAACCUUGCACAAUGGGGGAAACCCUGAUGCAGCGACGCCGCGUGGGUGAUGAAGCUCUUCGGAGUGUAAAGCCCUUUCGGUGGGGAAGAACCAAGACGGUACCCACAAAAGAAGCCCCGGCUAACUACGUGCCAGCAGCCGCGGUAACAC
rnacentral:rRNA from 1 species